GUCCUGCUAUAGAGAACUGAAGAAGGGUAUUGAUUUUUUGCUGUGGUUUAAGCCAGCAAACUACUGCACAGAUCUUUGACGUGCUUGAGUGCAAUUUCAUUUGAAAUCUCUCAAUCAGGUGCUGUCUACAUUCAUUUGAAAAAGGAAAAUAGUGGAAAAUUGGCUUCAUUUGUUACUACUUUUCAUUGACAAUUGAAUAUUCUUUUCACAUGAUUGUAAAUAGCUAGAUAGGCCCGUAGUUUUGAACUGAUGCCUCAAUGAAGGCCACAUCUCCCUAAUCUGUGGUUUGGCCAGUUUUAAUAGAUCGAUUGAUUUCACUUUACUUUCUUUGGCGGUCUUUUGAGUUGAAAACAUGUGUGGGACUCCGUCUUGAACACUGCAUGCAAUUUGGUAUUUCCAUCACAUUUUUGUCAAUAUGCUGAAUUUCAAAUUCGAAACCAAAUGAAUGCAGCAGAAAACAUCUAUCUAUUGAGCCAUGCAGUUCUUCAGUCUAUUGAACUUCCCCUUAACAUAUAUGUAUAUAUUUAUUUAUGUUUACAUACGCACAUAGUGAUUGUCCGGGAAACUAGGGAAAGCUGUUAGCGUUCUUGUGGCAGACAAGAACAAGAUAGAAGGGUAGCAGAAUAACAUUUUAGAUACGGCUGCAAACAAACCGUGCAGCUCGAGGCUUGGCUCGUUAUGGGCUCGACUAGGGUCGACUAGUUUAGCAAUCGGGCCGAGCUUGAGUUUUAGGCUCGUCUUUGUUUGUACAGGCUCCCCUCGAUUACAGAGGGUCGUUUAGUAAAUGAACCAGGCUUGGCUCAUUAAGUGCUCGUUUUUGAGCUCGAACUCGAGUUUUAGGCUCGUUAGUUAACGAGCCGAGCUCGAAAACUACAAUGCUCUGCUCAUUUGCACCCUCAAUUCCAGAGCGUGUCCCACCACAGUUAAUUAUGACUUCCAACCCUAGAAUAUGAGUCUGGUGAUAUGUCCAUUGAUUGUCAAUUGGUUUUGAUUUAGAUGCUAUUAUGAUAUCAAAGCAAGGCUUUUAAGAAAGACUCUAUAGAUUGAUUUUUCCAUUGUUUGUGUCAUUACUCAUAAAAGCUCUUUCUUUCAUUGAGACCCAUGAAUCCUUUGUUUACCUCGCCAAUUUAAUUCGAGGGUCGCACAUAGGAGUGAUAAGGUGUUCCCACAUCGGUUAGUAAUCACUUCUAGUCCACAGUCCUAGAGAAAGGUGUGAGAAACCAUUUAAGCCCCCUAAUUGGGGAGCCUCAAGGCUAUUGAAUAGGGGCAAUUUUGACUUUUCGCUGCUAAAAUGGGUACUGUUAUUUUACUUAAAUUGGUUUCCGGACUUUGCCUUUUUCCCUUUGUGUCCCAUUAGCCAGUGCAAUUUCGGCCCAUUUUGUCGUCUGCCUCUGACGAAAGCCUGCAACGCAUUUCUUUGUCCCUAUUUUUUCUGUGGGUUACUGAGAGAGAGAGAGAGAGAGAGAGAGAGAGAGAGAUUGAUUGUGUGUUCAACAAGUGGAUGUCAAAGAUUCGGUUUGGCUUCUCCGGUCAGUGCAUUAAGAUUUUGGAUGAUCCAUCACCAUCGCCCUCCGAUCAUGUUUUUUCACCUAAGUUAUGUUCAUUUAUUGAUGCUUGCCUGAACAAGGAUGCAGAUUCAAGGCCAAUGGCUGGGCAGGAUGUUUGAAUUUGAGGUUUGUAUUGUUCCAUUGAUCCUGCCAUUUUGCCUUCACCUGUGUUUGGAAUGAUUAAUGCACUCUCUAAUUAUCAAGAACAUUGAGAGAAAAGGUUGGAUCCAUAUAUUAGAAUUGAUAAUGGGUUCACAUUUUGCCUUCACUGAUGUUUGGAAUUGUUCAUCAAGUUGUUAUAUAUCUGUGGGACAUGUAAAGAUCAGACAUGCGCUUGGGUACCUACGGAGCAGUAAAUGUUGGAGGAGGUUAUAUUAAUUGAGCUGAAUAUAUGGAAGACUUCCCCGUUUGAUGAGGAAAGCUGAGAUGAAAGUUAGAAGUGCAUAGAAUGGGAAAACUUUCUUGGAGUCUAUCUCCGGCUAAUUGUUAUCGGUGUCUAAUAGCACUUGUGGAAUAUAUUUCUGCAGGUUAACUUUCUGUGAUCUCAAGUAGAUGCAAAUCUUUUAGCGUUUUUUUCCUCCUAUAUAAAAAGAGCCAGUGCUUCGCUUACCAAUUUUUCAAGUUGGGACGAAUGUGCCCCUCAAUUGCAGCCCUCCUGCACUGCUGCUUGUGCCCACAAUAGUAAUUUCCCCCUUGCGCAAGUGUGGCAAUCUUUGCACUUGACACUCACCUCUCUCGACCUUCCACAUCUAGGACCUUUCACAUCCUUCCUUCCCUCCUCUCCAUUUCGAUCCUCCCUUCUCUCUCUCUCUCCCUCUCUCUCCCCCCCCCCCCCCCCCCCCGAUCGUGUAUCCUCUCUCUCUCUCUCGAUCUUUGCCUCUCUCCUGACCUUCGAUUCCAUGGCCACGAUGGCAAUGAUGAAGAAGACAAAGAGGAUGGCAUUGAAGAAGGCAAAGGACAGAUUGAGUUUGAACAGUCAGUAGAUGCUUCUUUUCAGCCAUGAAGUUUAAGAGAUGAGCUCGGGAAAUAAAGAGAGAAACCCAGUUCUUGUACAGGUAUGGUGAUGGAUUCAAGCUCAUGAAUCACAACAAUAACAUUAACAUAUGCAAAAUAAAGAGAGAGAUUGCCAUUUUGGCACCUUGAAGCUCCUCAAACAUCCAAACGUCGUCAGAUUAUACAAUGUGCGCUUCAAUUUAGUGUUUAAUUUUAUUUGCUCUCUGCAAAUACUUGAUCAUAUUUCUUUGUUUUUUUGUAAGGUUAAUUUAUUGAAACACCAAAACUAGGUACAAGAUCACUGGGGCAGAAGCAACAAAUAAACCAAAACAUUGAGCAUAUUUGUUGUUUUGUUUCUCGGAAAAUUUGAGUAUAUUUCUUUAUUUGGUUUGGUAGAGUAGCAAAACUACUUGUAAAUGCCAAUAAAAAAAUGAUUUUGUUGGCUGUUGUUCUUUUGCUAUAUGGUUGGGAUCUCAACUGAUUUCAUGGC